GAUCAACGCUGGCGGCGUGCCUAAUACAUGCAAGUCGAGCGAACAGAUGAGGAGCUUGCUCCUCUGACGUUAGCGGCGGACGGGUGAGUAACACGUGGAUAACCUACCUAUAAGACUGGGAUAACUUCGGGAAACCGGAGCUAAUACCGGAUAAUAUAUUGAACCGCAUGGUUCAAUAGUGAAAGACGGUUUUGCUGUCACUUAUAGAUGGAUCCGCGCCGCAUUAGCUAGUUGGUAAGGUAACGGCUUACCAAGGCAACGAUGCGUAGCCGACCUGAGAGGGUGAUCGGCCACACUGGAACUGAGACACGGUCCAGACUCCUACGGGAGGCAGCAGUAGGGAAUCUUCCGCAAUGGGCGAAAGCCUGACGGAGCAACGCCGCGUGAGUGAUGAAGGUCUUCGGAUCGUAAAACUCUGUUAUUAGGGAAGAACAAAUGUGUAAGUAACUAUGCACGUCUUGACGGUACCUAAUCAGAAAGCCACGGCUAACUACGUG
rnacentral:rRNA from 1 species